UUCGUAGGGGGCUAGCGUUAUCCGGAUUUACUGGGCGUAAAGGGUGCGUAGGUGGUCUUUCAAGUCGGUGGUUAAAGGCUACGGCUCAACCGUAUUAAGCCGCCGAAACUGGAAGACUUGAGUGCAGGAGAGGAAAGUGGAAUUCUCAGUGUAGCGGUGAAAUGCGCAGAUAUUAAGAGGAACACCGGUAGCGAAGGCGACUUUCUGGACAGAAACUGACACUGAGGCACGAAAGCGUGGGUAGCAAACAGG
rnacentral:rRNA from 1 species